rnacentral:tmRNA from 1 species
GGGGAUGUUUUGGUUUUGACAGCGCCGAUGUCGGACGGUAAGCACGCCGGGCGUGGGGACCUUGCCCGUUAAUCUCAGAUCCCGAAACAAUAGUUGGCAACAACAGAUUUGCACUCGCUGCUUAAUUUGCCAAGCAAAUUAGCUUAAUCCGCCUCGCCUAGGCUGCGGGGCCGACGAGUAUCCCUCGGACUUUAGGCCCGUUAUGUUCCGGCCCAGGGGUAUCAAGCAAACGGGACGCUCUGCGGCACUGCCUCCAAGCCGUGGCUAAGAAAAAAGAGGAUAAGGUGAGGGAUUGCCCGCCUUCCGGCAGCCCGAUCCCCACAAUCAAAGGAAGGAUAAGCGUGUAGAAAGCCGCCUGGUGCGACGUUUGGACGGCGGUUCGAGUCCGCCCAUCUCCACA